UACAGAGGGUGCGAGCGUUGUCCGGAAUCACUGGGCGUAAAGGGCGCGUAGGUGGCCCGACAAGUCAAUGGUGAAAGUUCGACGCUUAACGUCGAAUCGGCCACUGAUACUGUUGGGCUGGAGCACUGUAGAGGCUCAUGGAAUUCCGGGUGUAGCGGUGGAAUGCGCAGAUAUCAGGAGGAACACCGGUGGCGAAGGCGGGUCUCUGGGCCGUUACUGACGCUGAGGAGCGAAAGCGUGGGGAGCGAACAGG
rnacentral:rRNA from 1 species